rnacentral:lncRNA from 1 species
GCCCUCGACAUUACAAUGAAAAUACUUUUUCUUAUCGUCGGCCUUCUUAGGAACCUACUUCUUGGGCUUGGCCUCGUUCUUCUAUUUUUUUGUGAAUUUUUUCUUCUUCUUGAAAGAAGACUUUCUUUUGGAGGAAGCUCACUCCACGGCUUGAACUGUGCCCCUUGAACUCUUCAAGAUACCCUUUGCAAUCACCAGCAUAUUCAAUAACUC